rnacentral:lncRNA from 1 species
GUUUCCACCUGCCCAUGUGCAGUUAAGGCCAGGUUCUGCUGCUCAUAGGACACGGACACCCCCAGCGGCCCAAGACCUGGUUAUUUUUCUCUCACAGUCAAGUCUUCAGGUUGGCCUUGCAGGGCUGGUAUGGAGUCCCUUGGUGUCACCAGGGUCUGGGCUCCUGUCUCCCUGCUCUUCCUUCCACCUGGGACUUCUUAAAGAAGGUGGGGAAAGAGCCUUUUCCAAAUGAAGCAGCUUUUUAAGAACCGCCUCCUGAGGAACCCAAAUCAUGCUUCUCCUUGGCCAGUAUUUGUUCACCUGCCCACAUUUCAGGGGUGGCUAAGAAACACAGCUAUAUUUUGAGGAUUGCUCACAGCAAUUUGCACAUCUAAACACAAGGACUUACUAAUGGAUGGUUGGUUGUUCCAACAGGCAGAUGCAUACAGGUCAAAUCUGGCCACAGAUGCUUUG